rnacentral:snoRNA from 1 species
UAAUAUGAUGAGUUAUCAAACACUCUUUAAGCUAGAUAGUAUCUGAAAUUAUAAUGAUUUUAGUGUAUUUGAACAUUUUUAAUACCUCUGAUA